rnacentral:lncRNA from 1 species
CAAGGAGAAUUGUCUCAUUCUGCCUUUAUGAACAAACCUAUGCUCAUGUAAGAGGAUUACAAGCUAAACAAGGACUUUUUAAUCAGCCUUUGUUGUUCAUAUUUAAGAGAUUUUAGUAGACAGCGUAGACUUUGGUUGUCCUGAGAUGAAAAGGCUGGAGUGUAAUUUAGAUGAGUUGAACACAGUAAACUAAAACAAAACGUUUCAGAUCAAGUUAAAUCAGCAAGUCUACUGUCAAAAUUAAAUCCUGUAUGGCAUAGUUAAAGAGAAAGACUUCUUGCUGUGACAUGACUGUAUUUGACAUUGAAUUUAUGUUCCAAAAGGAGUUGAUAUAUUAGGUAAUAACAAGGGUGUCACAGCUGACUGCUUAGGCAAUAGUCAGCUGGUCAAUACCUCAAGGAAGCUUUGACGCACUGUUCAAGGCGUAUUUUGUUUAGAAAAGUCACUUUCUUUUUGUGUUGUGGCGAACAAAAAAACGAGUUGAGUAUUGUUGUGUAAGAUUGUGUAGCAUAUGAUAUGACCCAAUACAAUACAUUCUGAUACUAUAGAAUUCAAUACAAUAGGAAAACAUAAGACAGGCUACUAUAUAAAAUGAUGAAAUAUGUUAACAAACCAGAUAAUACAAUGUAACACUGUAAGAUUUAAUAUUAUGUAAUAUGCCAGGAUAUGAUAGCAAACCAUAAUGUGCUGUAAGAUAUGAUAAGUUACCAUACCUUUCAAAACAAAACCAUUCGACAUCAUCCGAAACGCUAUGCUACGAUACGAUACAGUACAAUACGGUACGGCGAGGCAUGGUACGGUAGGAUAGGAUGUGGUAUGGUAGGAUACGAUACGGUAGGAUACGAUACAAUAUGAUAUGAUUCAAUGUACAGUAUUAAGAUGGGAUGUGAAGCAGUUUGAUGUGGGAUGUAAUAUAUUCAAGAGAUGACACAGUAAGGUGCAAUAUUUUGGUAUAUGCCACAACAUAAUACGGUGUGAUGUCAUAUGAGAUGAGGUGAUGGGAUGUGAAGGAACGAGACAAGAUGCAAUAUUGUAUGAUGGUAUUUGAUUCAAUAUGAUUUGGUUUGGCAUGUCAUUAUACAAUGGCAUAGUGCUGGGUGUGAUACUAAGGAUGAUAUGAUUCAGUACCACUCACUGUGGUAAGAUACAAUAUGCUAAAAUACCAUACCAUACUAUACUAUACCGUACAGUGGGCCACAAGAUGAGUAGAUACAACAAGCUGCAAAUCAUAGAAUACACUUAGUUAUUCCCUUUACAGAGAAAUCAGGUUUGAACUCAUGUUGCACAUAAUAAGCUGCCUGCAUUGAAGAAUUAAAAGUCUUUGCUGUCCUUUUAGUAAAAAUUCUUAGAUAUAGUCACUCCACUGUAUAGAAAAGCAUGCAGACAGAUGUAAAUCUGGACAGAGGGGAUCCAGGCUUUACAGUCACAAGACAGAGACAGAGCGUACCAGAGCGGACAGACAAAAAUCCCACUUGCACUUUGCAGUGCUGUUGAAAAAUCAAUAUUUCACCCCACAAAAUCAGAUGUAAUUUUCCAUUUUCAAGUGCAGGAAGAUAUGAAAUUUUUACAUUUAGAGGGAGAAUGGACUGGUGAACCUUGAAGGAUGAAUGUGAGUAACAAUGAUGCUGAAGUGUUUCAGUCCUGAGCGUAAACGUGUGCCUAUAUUAUGUUUCUACAUGCAGGCAGGGAUGCUGGGAGCUCGUCAGAGUUAGAGUUGCUAAAGGGAAGCCAAUCUUUACAAUGACUCUAUGAUGGAUUUGGUUUUAAACUGCAAGCAAAAGUGAUCUUUCAUUACAGUGAAAUCACUUUACACCUACUUUAGAGUAAAACUUGAACUAACAUCAAAGUUAAACAUCAACAUCGUUAUACUCUUAUGCCAUGGAUAUUAUACUGGCCUAUAUGUCAAAUUGUCUACAGCUUACAACAGACAGUGAUUACUUUCAGGCAACAAUUACCUGUGUGCAUCACCUUUGAUUCUGAGUAAAAGCAAAGAAAUUAGUUGAAUUUAGAAUUUAGAAGUGUAGCUCAAUUUUGAGAGCCUACAAAAACAUGAAUGAUCAUUUAACUUCCUCGGGGAUAAAUUAACUUAUUCAUUCAAGUCCUCAUCAUGUGAGGAUUUGUCUCUAUCUUGUGUAAAAAUGUCAUUUAAAGUGUAAUACUUUAGGUUUAGACUGCUUAUUGGAUUUAAACUUUGCCAGUAAUUCCUGAUAACAUGUGGUCAAAUUUUGUAGAGGAAUGGUCAGGAAAGUUAGUUCAAUUAAAUCUGAUAUGACAUCAAUGCCAACACAUCCGUUUUGUGUUUGAAAAAAAAAAGUUUUCUUGCUUUGUCUUUUCUUCACACCUGUCAGACUUGAUCAAGAAGCCUCUUCUCUUUUGGGCCCAUCCUGGGAUUACAACAGCAGAUUAACGAGGAUAUAAAUCAGCGAAAGCUCUCAGGACUCGUGAGUUUUUGAGUGUUGUUUCUCAGACCAGCUAAUGAUGUCGGAGUCCUCACACCAUAACACUGAGCGGUCGUAAUUUUACCAGAUUUUUCACUUGGCUUUCAAACUCAAGGUCUUCAGAGGAGAUGCCACGGUCUUGUCUGAGCUAGUUGCUGCUGCCAGCAUGUAUUGCUUUGUUGUUCAGACAGUAAUUACAGACAUCAGAGCAAGUUGUAUCCACAGGUGCUGUAUAUCUAACAACACUGAGGAAUUAAUGCAGUUAGUGUGGGCCGCUGCAGCUCUGUCUCCUGCUGUGAGUGUAACCCAACAGGCCUUUAAUGCAAAGUGGAGCUGUGAGGAGCGUCGGCUCAUGGUGAGCUGAUUCAAUCCUCCCCUCCUGCCUGUUUUAACACAGGAUCCUUUAAUGCAGCCCUAACAACAUUUGGGGAGUAUUUUUAAACAAAAUGAAAUUGCCCAGGCGCCACCUCAGUCUGCCCCAGUGUGACGGGGGAUACAGUUCCCCCUCCCGGUCGUGGGCGCUCAGAGAGGCUGGAGGAAUUUAAACUCCUGCUAAUGAAGAUGGGAGGAGUGCUGUGUCUCCAAUAUAGGAUUACAUUGUCAUACAGCACUGUAAUGCAACAGAGUCUGUGAGACACAAGGCACAGAGAUGGGCGAGUGUGGAGGACUCAUUUGAUUAAUAAAGGAAUAGUCCAAAUUAGUCCACUUGGACUUCAUAACAGUCUGAUUUGACUUGAUUAGUACUGCAUGUUGCUCUGUAAUCAAUGAAGCAAAAUAGGAUGUAUCAGGCUACAUUCAAAGUGAUUGAUAACAUAUUUUCAAAGUAUUGUUUAUGCAGUUUACUCUCUCUGUGCUCCAGAUCUACAGGCAUCCUCCAGACCCCUCUCAAGUCCGUUCCAGUCCUUGUGCACACAUGUUAGUGUCACAUAUGUCCUGUAUAUGUGCGUAUGAGCGUGUGUGUGUGUGUGUGUGUGUGUGCGUGCGUGUGCAUGAGUUUGGCUGUGUGUUGUCUCAUGUCAGGGCAGCUGUAGCCUCUGAAUGUUUGAUGUGACCACUGGUGUGAGGAGAGGAUCUGGAGUCUGGAGGUCAGGAGGGUGUGCUUUGACAUACUGAGGAGAGAGAGAGAGAGGCACUCCUUGAUGUUUGUUCUGUCGAUGGCUUUGCUCAGGGGAAUCUUCUGUCUCACUGCGUGGGGGGUUUCCAUCUUACUGGGCUCCAGUUUGUCUGUGUGACCUGCUUAUAUGUGACGGCUUGGCCCCUAAACUGCCCGUGUUUGAUGUCUUAAAUAGUUCAGUAGUUUGAGAGUGGAGUUACAGAAGGAGGUCAGUGCUCAUAAAAUUCAUAUUCAGGUGAGUGUCACAUAUUCUGCUGUGAUAAAUGUUGAUUUUUCAUAAGUUACAAUGUGUUGAUAGGAGAGGAUCACAGGUUUCUGGGCAGGUGUCCCACUGAGGGAUGGAUGUGCCAGGUUUUAUUUUUGCAGCACGCGCUGAAUACACAGGGGGAGCUACAGCUCUAUAGGUUCCUCUGGGUGACACUGUCAUCACCCAGUUUUUACAACAUCCCGAUGCUUUGUCCAGCAGCACACACUCAGAGGAAUAUAAACACACAUGAAUACCAGAGAGAGUUCAUAAAAGGAUGCUGUAGAUGUAAUACUGAUGAUAGAUAGAUAGAUAGAUAGAUAGAAAGAUAGAUAGAUAGAUAGAUAGAUAGAAAGAAAGAUAGAUAGAUAGAUAGAUAGAUAGAUAGAUAGAUAGAUAGAUAGAUAGAUAGAUAGAAAUUGAUUUAGAAAUAGAAUAAAUAUGGAUUGAUACAGAUCAGUACUGAUAAAAUGAUUGAAAUUGAUAAAGCUAGAGUUGCUGAUAGAUAUAUUCUGAUAGAUGCAGAAAUAAAAGGAUGUAGAUAUCAAUAGAUAUGUUGAGAUAGAUAUACAGCAAAGAUUCAGACAGGUUUAGAUCUGAAUAUAUAUGAUACAUCAUGUGUAUAUACUCACUUUUACAGACUUGCUUUUAUGUGAUGUCAUCUUUUAUCUUUUAUCUCUUAUCUCUUUUACCUCU